AGUCACUGACAUUAGAUACCCCUGUAGUCCAGGGUGUAAACGCUGCAGACUUGGUGUUGGAAGCCCUUUGGGGGCAUUCAGUGCCGGAGAGAAGUUGUUAAGUCUGCUACUUGGGAGUACGUCCGCAAGGAUGAAACUUAAAGGAAUUGGCGGGGGAGCACCGCAACGGGAGGAGCGUGCGGUUUAAUUGGAUUCAACACCGUAAAACUCACCAGGGAAGACUGUUACAUGAAGGCCGAGAUGAAGACUCUGCUAGAUUUUCAG
rnacentral:rRNA from 1 species